CACGGGGGGGAGACAGCUGUUCGUGAAUCACUGGGCGUAAAGGGCGUGUAGGCGGUCAGGUAAGUGGAAUGUGAAAGCCCUCGGCUCACCCGAGGAUCUGCAUUCCAAACUGCCUGGCUUGAGUAUGGGAGAGGAUGAGGGAAUUCCUGGUGUAGCGGUGAAAUGCGUAGAUAUCAGGAGGAACACCGGUGGCGAAGGCGCUCAUCUGGCCCAAUACUGACGCUGAGGCGCGAAAGCUAGGGGAGCAAACGGG
rnacentral:rRNA from 1 species